rnacentral:lncRNA from 1 species
AGAGGAGCCGCCGCCCCACUUUCCCGGAGCUUGGGCGGAGAGGCAGGAAAACUUCCUGGCCGGGGCUCGGGGACGCUGGGUCGCCAGCCCCGCAGUCCCGCCUCCGGGUGCCACCCCUCCCCCGCGCCCCCAAGUGUCCGCCAUGGCCAAAGCCUACGACCACCUCUUCAAGCUGCUGCUGAUCGGGGACUCGGGGGUGGGCAAGACCUGUCUGAUCAUUCGCUUUGCAGAAGACAACUUCAACAGCACUUACAUCUCCACCAUCGGUGAGCCCGCCGCCGCCGCUCCCAGGCCCCCGACGCCCCUGCGCCCUCAUUUGCAGGCGCCUUAGUCGCCUUUAGGGCUCCUAAACGCAGCCCCUCCACCCCUGUCUCAGACCCAUCCCCCAUACAUAGCUGGGUACUCAGACCUCCAACCUCUCUGAGGCCUCCAGGUGACUCUGAGGCCAGCCUCUCCUUGACUGUCUUUCUAGUCUCCCCAAAUUCACAGGAGUCUUUCUCUUGGCCCUCUAGCUCCUCUUCCCCAAACCCUAUCCACAUAGGACUCUUCCUGAUUCCCCCUCCACCGUCCCUGACUUCUGUCUCUUUCUGUCCCACUGACCCUCCAGGCUCUCUCCUGGCAUCCCACCUUACCAUCCGUUCCCCAGUCUCCCUCCCCUCAGCUUAAUAGAGGAUUGGACAGAGGGGACGGGGUGACUGGGUGUGCUCAAAGACUGUGAUUGUGAAUAUGCGGCUGCCUGAUGAGGAAGGUGGGAAUGAGGGGACUUUUGGGGUCUCUGAGUCAGCCUGUUGAAUCAUCUGCUCCCUGGGGCCCCCAGCAGCCUAGGGGGAGGUGCCCAAGUUUCUGCUAAAAAGAACAUUGUCUCCUUUCCUCCCUUCGCCUUUCUUCACGUCCUCUGGCCUGGGAAGUAAGUCAGAGAGAUUCUCAAGACAAUUUUGGUUACAAAGGCAAAAUACCCCUCUGUCCUCUCUCAGUCUCAGGAGGAAUCCUGUGUGAGUCUCUUAGUCUCUCUUAGUUCCAAGCUUGGCCCACCAGUUAAUUCUCAUGGACUAAUGUCAACUUCCUUUUCCCUUAUUCUGUACCCUAAAGUGCCAGGAGGAUAGUGGAAUAUGAUAGUAGAAGGGUCUAGGGAGGCUCAGGCAGGAGGGUCACAAGUUCAAAGCCAGCCUCAGCAAUUUAGCGAGGCCCUAAGCAGCUCAGUGAGACCCUGUCUCUAAAUAAAAUAUAAAAAAGGGCUGGAGAUGUGGCUAGGUGGUUAAGCACCCCUGCAUUCAAUCCCCGGUACCAAAAAAAAGGGAAAAAAAAGUAGAGGGGGGUAGCUAAGGAACUGGAAAGAGGAAUGUGAAAAUAGUGGGAGGAAACAGAAACUUAAGUGGAAGAGUUGUCAGCUGGGGUGGCCUGAAGCCCUCUGCAGAAUUUUCAAAACCUCCUCCAUAAAAUCUAAUUAAAACAGUAUACUCACUAUACAAAUGCAGCUUUGGGGGAAUGUUCCUAGUUCUGUACUUCCAAGAGGUUGCUUGCCCGAGCGCCGCCUGCACUCCUUCCCGGGUCUCCACACAUCCCUGUGGAUGCACAGGCAUACACACACUCUCCGCUUCAGCGCACAACUUCUGCCCACAGGAAUUGACUUCAAGAUCCGCACUGUGGAAAUCGAGGGGAAGAAGAUCAAACUGCAGGUCUGGUGAGUGGAUCCCCCAGGACAUCUAACUAGACCUCCGGUUCGUCUCCUGGGACUCUUUCC